AGAUAAUUGAAGGUACGAUGCAUUUCCACGGCUAUCAUUGCAUGAAACGAUCCAGCGAAGUGCGUGCGGCGCGUCGAAUUAAUAACGCAUCGUACUCGUGCACGUCAGGCCACUGUCAGGCUCUUCGGGGAAGUUCGGUCACACAAUAUAUUCAACAAUUCCGCUGCUGCGAAUCGGUAUAAAUAUUGAGAUCCGAAAGGACUAAAAGCGGCGAGCGAAUUAAAAAAUGCGCGGUUACCCAAAAUCAGUCGACCUUCCGAGGAUACGAGCACAACGAUAAACGAAAUUUUUAUCAUCGGUGAACAGAUCAAACUUAAUGUUACAAUAAGUGUGACAGUCCAUCCUGAGAUAAGAAUGACACCCACGCGCACAGGUGUGAAUCUAUCCAGGUCAUUCGAACGGCCAUUCGAACAAACGAUUGUCUCUCGUACGGACGUCGUCGAAUUGACUCUCGAAUUGAUUCCACGAUGACGGCAUGUUUUCGACUACGUCUAUCUGAUUAUAUCUUUUUUUCGGCAUCCCGACCGCGAUGAAUAAUGCAUA